AGUGAACGCUGGCGGCAGGCCUAACACAUGCAAGUCGAGCGGCAGCGCGGGGCAACCUGGCGGCGAGCGGCGGACGGGUGAGGAAUACAUCGGAAUCUACCCUGUCGUGGGGGAUAACGUAGGGAAACUUACGCUAAUACCGCAUACGAACUGAGGUUGAAAGCGGCGGACCGCAAGGCGUCGCGCGAUUGGAUGAGCCGAUGUCCGAUUAGCUAGUUGGCGGGGUAAAGGCCCACCAAGGCGACGAUGGGUAGCUGGUCUGAGAGGACGACCAGCCACACUGGAACUGGGACACGGUCCAGACGCCUACGGGAGGCAGCAGUGGGGAAUAUUGGACAAUGGGCGCAAGCCUGAUUCAGCCAUGCCGCGUGGGUGAAGAAGGCCUUCGGGUUGUAAAGCCCUUUUGUCCGGAAAGAAAUCCUGUCGGUUAAUACCCGGCGGGGAUGACGGUACCGGAAGAAUAAGCACCGGCUAACUUCGUGCCAGCCGCCGCCGUAACAC
rnacentral:rRNA from 1 species